AGAGUUUGAUCCUGGCUCAGGAUGAACGCUGGCGGCGUGCCUAACACAUGCAAGUCGAGCGUGAACCCUGCGAAUGAAACUUCGGUCGAUUUUGCAGGAGGAAAGCGGCGGACGGGUGAGUAACGCGUAGGUAACCUGCCCCAUACUGAGGGAUAGCCUCGGGAAACCGGGAUUAAUACCUCAUAACACCGUUUGUUCGCAUGGACGAACGGUCAAAGAUUUACCGGUAUGGGAUGGGCCUGCGUCUGAUUAGCUGGUUGGUGGGGUAACGGCCUACCAAGGCGACGAUCAGUAGCCGACCUGAGAGGGUGAUCGGCCACAUUGGAACUGAGACACGGUCCAAACUCCUACGGGAGGCAGCAGUGGGGAAUAUUGCACAAUGGGCGAAAGCCUGAUGCAGCAACGCCGCGUGAGCGAAGAAGGCCUUUGGGUUGUAAAGCUCUGUCGGGUAGGAAGAUAAUGACGGUACUACCCGAGGAAGCCCCGGCUAACUACGUGCCAGCAGCCGCGGUAAUACGUAGGGGGCGAGCGUUAUCCGGAAUUACUGGGUGUAAAGGGUGCGUAGGUGGCUGCUUAAGCGUGAGGUGAAAGGCAAUGGCUUAACCAUUGUGAGCCUCGCGAACUGGGUGGCUUGAGUGCAGGAGAGGAAAGCGGAAUUCCUAGUGUAGCGGUGAAAUGCGUAGAUAUUAGGAGGAACACCAGUGGCGAAGGCGGCUUUCUGGACUGCAACUGACACUGAGGCACGAAAGCGUGGGGAGCAAACAGGAUUAGAUACCCUGGUAGUCCACGCCGUAAACGAUGAGCACUAGGUGUCGGGGUCGCAAGACUUCGGUGCCGCAGUUAACGCAUUAAGUGCUCCGCCUGGGGAGUACGCACGCAAGUGUGAAACUCAAAGGAAUUGACGGGGACCCGCACAAGCAGCGGAGCAUGUGGUUUAAUUCGAAGCAACGCGAAGAACCUUACCAGGGCUUGACAUCCCUCUGACAGGUGGGUAAUGCCACCCUCCCUUCGGGGCAGAGGUGACAGGUGGUGCAUGGUUGUCGUCAGCUCGUGUCGUGAGAUGUUGGGUUAAGUCCCGCAACGAGCGCAACCCUUGUCAUUAGUUGCCAUCAGGUAAAGCUGGGCACUCUAAUGAGACUGUCGGGGAUAACUCGGAGGAAGGUGGGGAUGACGUCAAAUCAUCAUGCCCCUUAUGUUCUGGGCUACACACGUGCUACAAUGGCCGGUACAGAGAGAGGCGAACCCGCGAGGGGGAGCAAAACUCCAAAACCGGUCCCAGUUCGGAUUGCAGGCUGAAACUCGCCUGCAUGAAGUCGGAGUUGCUAGUAAUCGCGAAUCAGCAUGUCGCGGUGAAUGCGUUCCCGGGUCUUGUACACACCGCCCGUCACACCACGGAAGUUGGGGGCGCCCGAAGUCGGUCGAUAAAUAGGCUGCCUAAGGCGAAACCAAUGACUGGGGUGAAGUCGUAACAAGGUA
rnacentral:rRNA from 1 species